rnacentral:tRNA from 1 species
GGGUGGUUAGCUCAGUGGGAGCAUGAGUGCUUAGCAUGCACAGGGUCCUGGGUUCAAUCCCCAGUCCCUCCG